rnacentral:rRNA from 1 species
UACGUAGGGUGCGAGCGUUAAUCGGAAUUACUGGGCGUAAAGAGCGCGCAGGCGGUCGUUCAAGUCGCGUGUGAAAGCCCCCGGCUCAACUGGGGAGGGUCACGCGAUACUGAUCGACUCGAAGGCAGGAGAGGGUAGUGGAAUUCCCGGUGUAGUGGUGAAAUGCGUAGAUAUCGGGAGGAACACCAGUGGCGAAGGCGACUACCUGGCCUGUUCUUGACGCUGAGGCGCGAAAGCUAGGGGAGCAAACGGG